rnacentral:rRNA from 2 species
CCGUGAGGGAAAGAUGAAAAGCACUUUGAAAAGAGAGUUAAACAGUACGUGAAACCGUUAAAAGGGAAACGGAUGGGGUCAGCAAUGCGCUGCGCGAGAUUCAGCCGGGCGUCGUGUCGGGCGGGCGGUUUGCGGAUCCGAAUGGACCGCGGCCGCCCGGUUCGACGCUUCGACCGUCGCACUUCUCGCCAGCGCGCGCCAGCGUCGGUUGGCACCGGGUCUUAAAGUCACGGGCAAGGUAGGCGGCCUCCUUCGGGAGGGCGCUGUUACAGGCCCGAGUCGCAUGGCCCGGGGCCGACCGAGGUGUCGCGGCGCGUGCCUCCCUUCGGGGUUGGCUGGGGUCCCGUCUCGCCGGUCGGUAGUCGAAUGCGGUGGACUGCGUGCAGUGCGCCGCGACCGCUGCCGGUCGCAGGGAUGGUGAUUUCGCACGACGCGCCAAGGACGCUGGCGGUCAAAUGGCCUCAUUCGACCCGUCUUGAAACACGGACCAAGGAGUCUAACAUGUGCGCGAGUCUUCGAGUGAAUGAAGCUCGCCGGCGCAAUGAAAGUGAAGGCGGCGUCGUGCCGCCGAGGCGAGAGCCCGGCCCUCGGGACGGGCGCAUCGUCGACCGACCUAUUCUGCUCUCAGGAAGGUUUGAGUGGGAGCGCACCUGUUGGGACCCGAAAGAUGGUGAACUAUGCUUGAAUAGGGUGAAGCCAGAGG